GCCGAUGUGGCUCAAUGGUAGAGCACCUUCCUAGAAUGUGUGAGGGCCUGGGUUCAAUCCCCAGUAUUGCA
rfam:Ictidomys tridecemlineatus contig023899, whole genome shotgun sequence.